AUGCAAACAGAAGUGCCCUCACCCUGCCGGAGGGAAAACCCCAGUGUCCAGACCACAAGGGACUCCAUCCCCACCCUCCUCAGCUCCUCGGCUUUCUGCAGGACUCUGUGGCACAGCAAGCGCGUGGUGAUGACACACUUGGUCCCUCAGACCCUGCCAGAAGAAAAAGAGCUCUCCAGGCCUAGGAGCAAGGAAAAUAUCAAGUCCAAAGUCAUGGCCCUGGGGAGAAGCAGCAGACACCUACAUUUUGGGCACGCUGUAAAUGCACCAGAGUGGGUUGCAGGAACAGAGCACCAGCUCAUCAUACAUAGAUCGAGGUGCCACAGACACCCUGGUGGAAGCUCCAAGGACUGGACCAAGAAGCUGGUGGGACCUGCACAGCCCAGACCUUCCUUCACCCAGAACACUGCGGCAACAUCUGAUGGAUUUGGGGAGAUUUGGGGUUUAUCCCUUUUAAAUUCCAGAGCUGUCUGAAGUGAAGAGUUUGGCUUUGGGUUGAUCUGAGCCGGGUAAGCAGGAGGUGUGCAGUGCCCAGCCAUCGCAGCUGAGCAGCACAGCUCCCCAGACAGCCCCGAGCUCAGGUCCGAACGCCCUGAUCCUCUGGGGAUUUGACUCCAGAAGUCCUUGGUCUUAGGGGGAAGAGGUCGGUGGCAAAGGAGCCAGACCAGCAUCUGCUAGAGGAAAAGCAGAGGGGCAAAGUGAGGCUUCCUGUGAACUUCUUGCAGGCUCCCAAGGCCCUCAUAUUAUCUGUCUUGCCCAGAAAAUAUUUCAGACACAUCAAAUAAUACCUCUAUCACAACCAGGGAUGGGAAAUGCAGAUCUCAGGGGCUUUUCUCCUUCAGCUCUGAUCUGGAGAUACUGUGUUGAGCCGCUGAAGAACUUUGAUGCUAUUUUCUUUUCCAUUUUUACAAUGUUACCUACCUAAGGUUUGUUGUUGUUGCUGUUGUUGUUUUUUAUAUUAAAAAAUAAUAAUAAUAAUGAAUGAUAAAGCCCCUCAUUUUGAAAAAGAAAAAAAAAGAAAUAAAAAAAGAAAAGAAAAGAAAAAGAAAUCUGUA
rnacentral:lncRNA from 1 species